rnacentral:rRNA from 1 species
UACGGGGGGGGCAAGCGUUGUUCGGAAUUACUGGGCGUAAAGGGCUCGUAGGCGGCCAACUAAGUCAUACGUGAAAUCCCCCGGCUUAACCGGGGAACUGCGUCUGAUACUGGAUGGCUUGAGUUCGGGAGAGGGAUGCGGAAUUCCUGGUGUAGCGGUGAAAUGCGCAGAUAUCAGGAGGAACACCGGUGGCGAAGGCGGGUCUCUGGGCCACUACUGACGCUGAGGAGCGAAAGCGUGGGGAGCAAACAGG